CCUACGGGCGGCAGCAGUAGGGAAUCUUCCACAAUGGGCGAAAGCCUGAUGGAGCAACGCCGCGUGGGUGAAGAAGGUCUUCGGAUCGUAAAACCCUGUUGUUAGAGAAGAAAGUGCGUGAGAGUAACUGUUCACGUUUCGACGGUAUCUAACCAGAAAGCCACGGCUAACUACGGGCCAGCAGCCGCGGUAAUACGUAGGUGGCAAGCGUUAUCCGGAUUUAUUGGGCGUAAAGGGAACGCAGGCGGUCUUUUAAGUCUGAUGUGAAAGCCUUCGGCUUAACCGGAGUAGUGCAUUGGAUACUGGGAGACUUGAGUGCAGAAGAGGAGAGUGGAAUUCGAGGUGUAGCGGUGAAAUGCGUAGAUAUAUGGAAGAACUCCAGUGGCGAAAGCGGCUUUCUGGUCUGUAACUGACGCUGAGGUUCGAAAGCAUGGGUAGCAAACAGGAUUAGAUACCCGUGUAGUC
rnacentral:rRNA from 1 species